rnacentral:tmRNA from 1 species
GGGGGUGCUCUGGUUUCGACAGGGUCACUGAACCGUAAGUUGCAUGCCGAGGGCCCGGCUGGCCUCGUAAAAAGCCGGAAAAACACAAGUGCAGACGAAAACUACGCACUCGCUGCUUAAUUAAAAGCAACGCCGAGCCCGGCGCCUCUCCCGUGGGGGUCGAAGUUCGGUCGCAAUACGGGAUUGGAUUUUGUCAUGCUCGGGGGCAGAGUCUGAAAUUUACUGAGCUGGUUUGAUUUUGCGCCGACCUUCUCGGGCGUGAGUCAGGCGAGACCUUAAGUACGAAGGGAAAGCAUGUAGGAGCGCACGCGGAUGAGAUUUUGGACAGGGGUUCGACUCCCCUCACCUCCAUUC